UGGUAGCAAUACUGAGCGAAGCUAGUGGCGAACGGGUGCGUAACACAUGAGUCAUCUGCCCAGAAGUGGGGAAUAGCUCGGCGAAAGCCGGAUUAAUACCGCAUGUGGUCGUAAGACCAAAGCCGGGGCAACCUGGCGCUUUUGGAGGAGCUCGUGGCCUAUCAGCUAGUUGGUGAGGUAAUGGCUUACCAAGGCAACGACGGGUAGCUGGUCUGAGAGGACGACCAGCCACACUGGAACUGAGAUACGGUCCAGACACCUACGGGUGGCAGCAGUCGAGAAUUUUUCUCAAUGGGGGAAACCCUGAAGGAGCGACGCCGCGUGGAGGAUGAAUGCUUUCGGGUUGUAAACUCCUGUCAUUUGGGAACAAGGCCUUACGUUAACUGCGUGGAGGAUUGAUAGUACCACAAGAGGAAGAGACGGCUAACUCUGUGCCAGCAGCCGCGGUAAUACAGAGGUCUCGAGCGUUGUUCGGAUUCAUUGGGCGUA
rnacentral:rRNA from 1 species